UACGUAGGGGGCGAGCGUUGUCCGGAAUCAUUGGGCGUAAAGCGCGUGUAGGCGGCUCGAUAAGUCUGCUGUGAAAGUCCAGGGCUCAACCCUGGAAUGCCGGUGGAAACUGUCGAGCUUGAGUCCGGAAGAGGCGAGUGGAAUUCCUGGUGUAGCGGUGAAAUGCGCAGAUAUCAGGAGGAACACCAAUGGCGAAGGCAGCUCGCUGGGACGGUACUGACGCUGAGACGCGAAAGCGUGGGGAGCAAACAGG
rnacentral:rRNA from 1 species